rnacentral:rRNA from 1 species
GGGUUGUGAGGUUAAGCGACUAAGCGUACACGGUGGAUGCCCUGGCAGUCAGAGGCGAUGAAGGACGUGCUAAUCUGCGAUAAGCGUCGGUAAGGUGAUAUGAACCGUUAUAACCGGCGAUUUCCGAAUGGGGAAACCCAGUGUGAUUCGUCACACUAUCAUUAACUGAAUCCAUAGGUUAAUGAGGCGAACCGGGGGAACUGAAACAUCUAAGUACCCCGAGGAAAAGAAAUCAACCGAGAUUCCCCCAGUAGCGGCGAGCGAACGGGGAGCAGCCCAGAGCCUGAAUCAGUGUGUGUGUUAGUGGAAGCGUCUGGAAAGGCGCGCGAUACAGGGUGACAGCCCCGUACACAAAAAUGCACAUACUGUGAGCUCGAUGAGUAGGGCGGGACACGUGGUAUCCUGUCUGAAUAUGGGGGGACCAUCCUCCAAGGCUAAAUACUCCUGACUGACCGAUAGUGAACCAGUACCGUGAGGGAAAGGCGAAAAGAACCCCGGCGAGGGGAGUGAAAAAGAACCUGAAACCGUGUACGUACAAGCAGUGGGAGCACAGAGCAAUCUGUGUGACUGCGUACCUUUUGUAUAAUGGGUCAGCGACUUAUAUUCUGUAGCAAGGUUAACCGAAUAGGGGAGCCGAAGGGAAACCGAGUCUUAACUGGGCGUUAAGUUGCAGGGUAUAGACCCGAAACCCGGUGAUCUAGCCAUGGGCAGGUUGAAGGUUGGGUAACACUAACUGGAGGACCGAACCGACUAAUGUUGAAAAAUUAGCGGAUGACUUGUGGCUGGGGGUGAAAGGCCAAUCAAACCGGGAGAUAGCUGGUUCUCCCCGAAAGCUAUUUAGGUAGCGCCUCGUGAAUUCAUCUCCGGGGGUAGAGCACUGUUUCGGCAAGGGGGUCAUCCCGACUUACCAACCCGAUGCAAACUGCGAAUACCGGAGAAUGUUAUCACGGGAGACACACGGCGGGUGCUAACGUCCGUCGUGAAGAGGGAAACAACCCAGACCGCCAGCUAAGGUCCCAAAGUCAUGGUUAAGUGGGAAACGAUGUGGGAAGGCCCAGACAGCCAGGAUGUUGGCUUAGAAGCAGCCAUCAUUUAAAGAAAGCGUAAUAGCUCACUGGUCGAGUCGGCCUGCGCGGAAGAUGUAACGGGGCUAAACCAUGCACCGAAGCUGCGGCAGCGACGCU